GCCCCGUCCGGGAGGGAGGCGCGGGGGGUGGGUCGGCCAGCCGCCCUGUCCGGGAGGGAGGUGGGGGGGUCAGCCCCCCGCCCGGCCGGCCGCCCCGUCGGGGAGGUGAGGGGCGCCUCUGCCCGGCCGCCCCUACUGGGAAGUGAGGAGCCCCUCUGCCUGGCGAGCCGCCCCGUCCGGGAGGGUGGUGGGGGGGUCAGCCCCCCGCCCGGCCAGCCGCCCUAUCCAGGAGGUGAGGGGCGCCUCUGCCCGGCCGCCCCUACUGGGAAGUGAGGAGCCCCUCUGCCUGGCCAGCCGCCCCGUCCGGGAGUGUGGUGGGGGGGUCAGCCCCCCGCCCGGCCAGCCGCCCCAUCCGGGAGGUGAGGGGCGCUUCUGCCCGGCCGCCCCUACUGGGAAGUGAGGAGCCCCUCUGCCCGGCCACAACCCCGUCUGGGAGGUGUGCCCAGCGGCUCAUUGGGGAUGGGCCAUGAUGACAAUGGCGGUUUUGUGGAAUAGAAAGGCGGGAAGGGUGGGGAAAAAAUUGAGAAAUCGGAUGGUUGCCGGGUCUGUGUGGAUAGAAGUAGACAUGGGAGACUUUUCAUUUUGUUCUGUACUAAGAAAAAUUCUUCUGCCUUGGGAUCCUGUUGAUCUGUGACCUUAUCCCCAACCCUGUGCUCUCUGAAACAUGUGCUGUGUCCACUCAGGGUUAAAUGGAUUAAGGGCGGUGCAAGAUGUGCUUUGUUAAACAGAUGCUUGAAGGCAGCAUGCUCGUUAAGAGUCAUCACCACUCCCUAAUCUUAAGUACCCAGGGACACAAACACUUCGGAAGGCCGCAGGGUCCUCUGCCUAGGAAAACCAGAGACCUUUGUUCACUUGUUUAUCUGCUGACCUUCCCUCCACUAUUGUCCUAUGACCCUGCCAAAUCCCCCUCUGGGAGAAACACCCAAGAAU
rnacentral:lncRNA from 1 species